AUGGCUCAGUGAGGCCUUCGGACUGGCCCAGGGAGGUCGGCAACGACCACCCAGGGCCGGAAAGUUGGUCAAACUCGGUCAUUUAGAGGAAGUAAAAGUCGUAACAAGGUCUCCGUAGGUGAACCUGCGGAGGGAUCAUU
rnacentral:rRNA from 12 species